ACUGGGAUAACUUCGGGAAACCGGAGCUAAUACCGGAUAAUAUUUCGAACCGCAUGGUUCGAUAGUGAAAGAUGGCUUUGCUGUCACUUAUAGAUGGACCUGCGCCGUAUUAGCUAGUUGGUAAGGUAACGGCUUACCAAGGCAACGAUACGUAGCCGACCUGAGAGGGUGAUCGGCCACACUGGAACUGAGACACGGUCCAGACUCCUACGGGAGGCAGCAGUAGGGAAUCUUCCGCAAUGGGCGAAAGCCUGACGGAGCAACGCCGCGUGAGUGAUGAAGGUCUUCGGAUCGUAAAACUCUGUUAUUAGGGAAGAACAAACGUGUAAGUAACUGUGCACGUCUUGACGGUACCUAAUCAGAAAGCCACGGCUAACUACGUGCCAGCAGCCGCGGUAAUACGUAGGUGGCAAGCGUUAUCCGGAAUUAUUGGGCGUAAAGCGCGCGUAGGCGGUUUUUUAAGUCUGAUGUGAAAGCCCACGGCUCAACCGUGGAGGGUCAUUGGAUACUGGAAAACUUGAGUGCAGAAGAGGAAAGUGGAAUUCCAUGUGUAGCGGUGAAAUGCGCAGAGAUAUGGAGGAACACCAGUGGCGAAGGCGACUUUCUGGUCUGUAACUGACGCUGAUGUGCGAAAGCGUGGGGAUCAAACAGGAUUAGAUACCCUGGUAGUCCACGCCGUAAACGAUGAGUGCUAAGUGUUACGGGGUUUCCGCCCCUUAGUGCUGCAGCUAACGCAUUAAGCACUCCGCCUGGGGAGUACGACCGCAAGGUUGAAACUCAAAGGAAUUGACGGGACCCGCACAAGCGGUGGAGCAUGUGGUUUAAUUCGAAGCAACGCGAAGAUCUUACCAAUCUUGACAUCCUUUGACCCUUCUAGAGAUAGAAGUUUCCCCUUCGGGGGACAAAGUGACAGGUGGUGCAUGGUUGUCGUCAGCUCGUGUCGUGAGAUGUU
rnacentral:rRNA from 1 species